GAAGACGAGUUUUCAAAAUAUCAAUUGUUUACAAAGACACGAUUUAACCUUCAAAAUUUUGAAAAGCUUUUGCGUUUAAAUCAAUGUAAUAAAAUAAUGGAAAUCUAAUAUGACUAAUGUUUUGACUAACUGACUGGAUAAUGACAAGGAAUUUAAUAUACUAAAGUUUUUAUCAAACCAUAAAAAGAUUUUAACUAUUCAAACAAGUCUUUACCAGCAGAAUUCAUAUUUUUGAAAAGCAGUGUAAUGUGACACGUCAGAUUCGGCCAUAACGUCUGGGUCGAGUUUAAGGUGUUACAAGAUCCAUUGGUACAGUUGGGAACAACUUUGCGAUCUUAAGGAGAAUGGGGUAAAGGAUUCUGGAGUUUAUCCAAAUUUAAUGUUGCAUUCUUAGCUAAACAAGGUUGGCGCAUUCUUAAUAAUCCAGAUUCAAUAUUAACGAUAGUUCUAAAAACAAAAUACUUUCCAAAUACAAAUUUUCUUAAUUCUGAGUUAGGAAGGCUACUUUCGUUUACUUAGAAGAGUAUAUGGGUUGCUAAAGGAUUGUUGAUGAAUGAGAUUUGUUGGAGAGGGGAACUGGUAAGAAUAUUUCAAUUACUGGUUAUGCGUGGCUCCCUGGUACUGAAAGUUACAAAGUAGAAUCAAUUAGGAACUCUAGUGAUCUAAGUAAAGCGGCAGAGCUUAUUGAUGAACAAAAGAUAGAAUGGAAGUCUAGAGAAGAUGCAGACAUAAUUGUUCGAAUUCCUUUAGCAAUGGAACCUCAUGAGGACUUCAUGGUAUGGAAGGGGGAGGCCUCGGGAGAAUUCUCGGUAAGAAGUGCUUAUAAACUAUUAUAGGGCUUUAUUCUUAAUUAUUUACAGACCGAGGCUAAUUUAUUUUACAAAAAAUUAUGGAAUAUUCACGUUCCAGGGAAAUUAAAAAUCCUAAUUUGGAAAAUUUCUUGAAAUUUUAUUCCCCAUUUUGUUAAUCUGCUUUCGAUGGUAGUCUGCCCUAGAUGUGGUGCAGCUGCUGAAAAGACUGACCGUAUCUUCAGAGAAUGCCCUGUGACGCAAAAAGUUUGGAUUAGCUUGAAUCUGGAUUGGGUGUUAACAGAUUUGCUUUUGUCACACGGGGAAUGGCUUAUCUGGGUGUUCAAGAACAGUUCCAACAUUCAAUGUUGAGUAUUUUGCUACUCUUUAUGGGUGAUCUGGAUGGCUAGAAACAAAAGAUUACAUGAGGGAAAAAAAGUACGGGUCCAGAAAUUGCUGCAUGGAUAAACAAAUAUAUUAAGGAAUUGGAGGGGUGUGAAAUAUGGAUUUUACCAUGAGGCAUGAAUAUGUGGGUUGGUGCCCAACAGAUGGUUUUGCUGUCAAAACUAAUUUCGACACCGCUUUUGAUAUCUCUUGGGGGUGGUGGCUAGAAAUGCUUCGGGGGAGGUACUCGUCUUCAAAAUAAAGAUCUAUGGGGAGAUGGCCUCUUCAUUUACAGCAGAGGCCCUUGCAAGCCUCCAAGCAAUAUUUAUGGGAAAACAGAUGGGAUUCACAUCAAUUAUCAUCGAAAGAGACUCAGUAUCAGUAAUAAAAAAAGUAACUCAGAGAAGAUUGAUAAAUCGGUGAUUGAGGGUAUAAUACGAGACAUUUAGCAAAAAACAAUUCUUUUCACCAAAUAACCUUUCAAUAUACAAACAGAUCUGCAAAUAUUAUGGCUCACAACUUAGCUAGAAAUGCAAUGAAAGAAGAAUCGAGAACAUACCUGAUCGGAAGGAUCCCUGAGCAAGACACAUUGGAGGUGGAUCGGCGGAGAAGAAGGGAACCUGAUUGAGGGAUGUUUGAUAGGGGGUCUCUACGUAAGAAGAAAAAAGAAAAGUAGAAUAAUGGUUGGGUUUUGGAAAUUGCUUUUCUGGGGACUGGAAUCGGUGCAUUAAAUGCGAAAAUGCUGAUUGGAUUCUAGCUGCUAUCAGACUGGAUGUCUCCUUUUAAUUUCUAUCUUUUCAUUCGUCUUUUCUUUGGGAACCGAUU
rnacentral:lncRNA from 1 species